AGGCCGGUAACUCAGCUGGUUAGAGUGCCAUCCUCACACGAUGGAAGUCGGCGGUUCAAAUCCGUUCCGGCCUACCA
rnacentral:tRNA from 1 species